rnacentral:misc_RNA from 1 species
GAUGAAGAACGUAGCAAAAUGCGAUAAGUAAUGUGAAUUGCAGAAUUCAGUGAAUCAUCGAAUCUUUGAACGCACAUUGCGCCCCCUGGCAUUCCGGGGGGCAUGCCUGUUCGAGCGUCAUUACAACCCUCAAGCUCUGCUUGGUAUUGGGCUCUGCCGGUCCCGGCAGGCCUUAAAAUCAGUGGCGGCGCCACUCGGCUUCAAGCGUAGUAAUUCUUCUCGCUUCGGAGACCCGGGUGCGUGCUAGCCAGCAACCCCCAACUUUCUCAGGUUGACCUCGGAUCAGGUAGGGAUACCCGCUGAACUUAAGCAUAUCAAUAAGCGGAGGA